AAUUUUGGACAAUGGGCGAAAGCCUGAUCCAGCCAUGCCGCGUGUGUGAAGAAGGUCUUCGGAUUGUAAAGCACUUUAAGUUGGGAGGAAGGGCAGUAAGUUAAUACCUUGCUGUUUUGACGUUACCGACAGAAUAAGCACCGGCUAACUUCGUGCCAGCAGCCGCGGUAAUACGAAGGGUGCAAGCGUUAAUCGGAAUUACUGGGCGUAAAGCGCGCGUAGGCGGUUCGGAAAGAAAGAUGUGAAAUCCCAGGGCUCAACCUUGGAACUGCAUUUUUAACUGCCGAGCUAGAGUAUGGCAGAGGGUGGUGGAAUUUCCUGUGUAGCGGUGAAAUGCGUAGAUAUAGGAAGGAGCACCAGUGGCGAAGGCGACCACCUGGGCUAAUACUGACACUGAGGUGCGAAAGCGUGGGGAGCAAACAGG
rnacentral:rRNA from 1 species